rnacentral:misc_RNA from 1 species
UAACUUUUAUGUGGAAAAUAUAUUUUGAGAAAAUGAUUUAUUUUUUGAUAUUGGUUGCAAUAUUGAUCCAUAGAAUAUAUUUUCUAGCAUUUGGAGUUCUUUGAAAACUAUUAAUUUUCUUUCAAAAUAUGUCUAUGGACAUGUAUGAACCUAUAAAACUUCUUUAUUUUUAUUUGUUUUUGACUAUGAGAAAAAGAAAAUACAUAAAACGCCAAAUUAUAGUUGUCAUAAAAAAAUUACCAUUGGUUGCCAAUGGCCAGUGAUGGCCAAGGAUCACUUUGGGUGGUUGGUAGACUAAAGGGUAUGUGUUUAUAUGAUUUCCUGGUAGUUUCUUCCUUUUUGAAAAAUCUUUUGAAAAUAAUUCAUGUUGCCUCAAAAUUAAAGUUUUCUCUUUGACCAAAAUAAAAAGAAAAUUUCUGUUGACUAAUUUUUAAGUGCCCCAAAUGUCAGGAAAAAAAAUCUGUGAAACAGUUGGAGCACUAGUCUUUAUUUUGAGAGGAGUUUAAUGAAAAAUCAAGUUUAAGCUACUUCUGAUAAAAUAGUUGUAUAAAAUCUAUGUACAUUUUUUUAUGCUAGAUUCUUUAGAACUUGGGUCACGUUGCAAGUAGUAUUCUUG